rnacentral:rRNA from 1 species
UACGUAGGGUGCAAGCGUUAAUCGGAAUUACUGGGCGUAAAGCGUGCGCAGGCGGUUGUGCAAGACAGAUGUGAAAUCCCCGGGCUUAACCUGGGAAUGGCAUUUGGGACUGCAAGGCUGGAGUGCGGCAGAGGAGACUGGAAUUCCUGGUGUAGCAGUGAAAUGCGCAGAUAUCAGGAGGAACACCGAUGGCGAAGGCAGGUCUCUGGGCCACUACUGACGCUGAGAAGCGAAAGCAUGGGGAGCGAACAGG